rnacentral:misc_RNA from 1 species
GAUGAAGAACGUAGCGAAACGCGAUAAGUAAUGUGAAUUGCAGAAUUCAGUGAAUCAUCGAAUCUUUGAACGCACAUUGCGCCCGCUAGUAUUCUGGCGGGCAUGCCUGUCCGAGCGUCAUUUCAACCCUCAAGCCCCCGGGCUUGGUGUUGGGGAUCGGCGAGCCUCCGCGCCCGCCGUCCCCUAAAUCUAGUGGCGGUCUCGCUGUAGCUUCCUCUGCGUAGUAGCACACCUCGCACUGGGAAACAGCGCGGCCACGCCGUUAAACCCCCAACUUCUGAACGUUUGACCUCGAAUCAGGUAGGAAUACCCGCUGAACUUAAGCAUAUCAAUAAGCGGAGGA